CACAGCUGGGGGAGGAAGAUGUGAAUUCACCCUGAAAAUUUGGCCCUCAGAUGAAGAUACUGCACCAACACAGUAUGUGUAGUACAUCAGAUAACGCACGUCUCUCUGAAGUUUCUAACAUCUUCACAAAGGCAGCAUCACCAGCUGGAACAACAAUGCAGAGCUGUCCACUGGAAGGGAUCACAGAUUGACUGAAACCCAGGAAUCCCAAGUUCCAAGGCAGGCAGUGAGGGUUGUAUCCAGUGGUGUGAAUUCUCUUCCUUUGAA